rnacentral:ncRNA from 1 species
UAGAACUUGUCGGAGUGCUUCGUUUUCUAACGAAAACAAGCUGAGACCGCAUUGCGGGAUCCGUUGAACCUGAUCAGGCUAAUACCUGCGAAGGGAACAAGCAUGCAAAAUCA